rnacentral:lncRNA from 1 species
GAGGAAAGCAAGUCCCAGAGAGGCUUGGUGGCUGCUUGGCCGCAGAAGCUGAAUUCACCACAGAGCAUGGAUUAAGACCCAUAUAUCUUGAUUCCUAGACCAACGCAGGGCUUGAACAGCUUCUGCCAAAAGCACAGAGUGGGUUGCCAUCCAGAAUCAGGGUCCUGUCUGGUGCGCUGCUGGAGGUCUCUGCAUGGGGAAUUCCUUCUUCCCUCCUGACCCUCGUGGGUCCUGAGCCCCCCCACCAGCCCCCUCUGCAGUGGGGCCCACAGCACACAAAGGUGCUAUUUCCUCUCCUCUCUCCUUAGCAGAGAAACAGCGUUAAAGGAAUCUGGAAGCCUAUGAGUGAGCGUGUCUUUUCUGCUGUAUCAGUUUCUAAUUGGGCAGGGGAAGGGUCACGGAGGAUGUCUGGGGUACGCUUUCACUCCUGGCUUGGGUUUUAUUUUGUUUCCGUCCUCAUUCCCAAUAGCUCUUCCAGCACCCUGUCAUAAAGUUGUGGGGCUUUUAGAAUUAUUUAUAAUCUCAUUUUAAGUUGACAUGAACUCUUAAAAGCCUCCAAUUCCCCCAUUGUAUUUAUUUAGGCAAAGGUAAUAUCAUAAUCCACAAUGAUGCAUUACAAGACACAAUAAUUGUCUUGCAAAUAUGGGUCUGAUGAAUCCUAAUUGGUUCCUGGGUUACUUAAAGGGCAAAUCAUUUUGGUUGGGUGGUGAUGUUGUGAUAUUCUUCAAACCACUGACAAUACAUGUUCAACACCCAUGUGAAGCCUCUGGAGGACCCAAAGAUGGCUAAUGUAGCAUCCCUGUGCCUCCAGGAGCCCCGAGUGGAGAGUGAGAAACAGAGGACAAGUACAGCUACCAUGACACUAAUGAGUUGUAAAAAGGACACAAACGAGAAAUACUCAUUUGGACUGAAGGAAGCUGUGCUUGAGCGAAACCUUGACGUGAGAUUAAACUUGGCCAGAUGAAGAUGAAAGAGAAGAGAGAAAGAGCAUCGGGGCAGCAAGGGACCAAAGGUGUGGGAAGACUGGACAGGACCUGGGAAUAGCACCGGGAAACAGGACAGGAAAUUGAAAGGAAAGACAAAGAGAAAGAAAAGACGAAGAGUUUCAAGGUGCCUCCCUAUUCCCUGAAACACAACAGUAUCAAAAUGAGACCAACUAAUAACCCACAAUGACCUGUAAGCAUUCAAGUGAAAGGAAGAGUCACAUAUCUUUCCAUUUAAGUCAAAAGCUAGAAAUGAUUAAGUUUAGUGAGGCAAGUAUGUUGAAAGCCGAGAUAGGCCAAAAGCUAGACCCUUUGCACCAAAUAGUUAAACCAGAUGAGAAUGCAAAGGAAAAGUUUUUGAAGGAAAUUAAAAGAGCUACUCCAGUGAACACAUGAAUGAUAAGAAAGCUAAACAGCCUUAUUGCUGAUAUGGGGAAAGUUUUAGUGGUUUGGAUAGAAGAUUAAACCAGCCACAACAUUCCCUUAAAUCAAAACCUAAACCAGAGCAAGGCCCUAACUCUCUUCAAUUCUAUGAAGGCUGAGAGGGGUGAGACAACUGCAAACAAAAGUUGGAAGAGAUUAAGGAAAGGAGCCGUCUCCGUAACAUAAACGUGCAAGGAGAAACAGCAAUUGCUGAUGGAGAAGCUGCAGCAAGUUCUCCAGAAGAUCUAGCUGAGAUUGUUGAUGAAGGGGACUACACUAAACCCCAUAUUUUCCCAUAUUUUCCAUGUAGGCAAACGAACCUUCUAUGGGGAGAAUAUGGUCAUGGACAUUUUUGCCAUCCAUCUAAGGAGAAAUUGAUAUGAUAUGCUAAGUCCACAAUUAUCACCUAAAACUUUCAUUACACCUUACAGAUGGAGAAAAAGAAACAUGGAGAAAUGAUGAUAGCUGUGAUCCCAAAGCUAGAAAGAGGCAGGGUGGGGACUCAGUUGCAGGAUUCAGAGCCUGUGACCCACCUGCCAGACUAUGCAUUGACUCUACCUAGAGAAGCCUUCUUUGGUCGUCCCCACCCAGACCAGAGUUCAUGGGGAUCAGUUGCACCUGGGAGGCCAGUAGGUAAAAGAAAGGCAGGAACAGGGGCAGAUUCCUUGAGAAAACCCCAACAACAGGGGUGAAAUCUCCCUGGGCGUGGGCUGAGGCUGACUGUGAACCUGGGCCUGCCACUGGCUCCCAAAAGUCACAUGACCUAUCUGCACCUGGCUGUCCUCAACUGUGGCAUGCAGAGUAAAUCCCACCCUGCUGGCCACAAAGUGGCACAGAAAGGAUCAGGAGCCAUUUGAUGUCAGAAAGGCUUUUGCAAAGGGGAAGGCCCCGUACAAAUGCGAGGAGUUGUUCAAACAGGGAAAAAAAAAUUAAAAAGUAGAGUUUCAGUGAGAUCCUCCUCCCUUUGGUCCCCCCGCCCCACCCCGGGAACAUGACUACUUCAAUCAAACACAUUUCUGGGUAAAACAGUGCAUGUUUCAGAUUCUGUAAUGAUGAAUUUGCAACCUCAUUUAACCACUCUUGAAAAAGACCAUGCCCAACACAGACUCACCUGGUUUCUUUGUGGGAGGAAUCCAAAGACACAUUGUGCAUUGUUCUAGUUCCAGGCUCCAGCUACCCUUUUGCUCCACUCCCCUCCCCAGGCACUCUGUUCCUACCAUCCUCCAAGUUCACCAGCAGUCAAGGUAGAGACCUCUUGUUAAACAGAACACGCUCUAUUUCAAGGUAUGCAGACUGCUUCAUUUCACAUGGUAUGAGUCAUGAUUCACAGCUCCAGAAAAGAAUCAAAAGAAUUCAUUAAAACAGUAGAAAAUGUCACAUCCAGCAUCUCUAAUGUUGAUUUUUCCUCUCUCAUCUGGGGACCCAGGGACGGAGGGGCAAGAGAAGUGCCUGCACAUAGGCCCAUCAGCCAUCCUUCCUAGGCCCAGGAAUUGGGAAGGCCAGGGUAUAAGGCAAGUUGGGACAGUUGAUAAAGAGGGAAGAUGUUAGAGGGAAAUACUCCCUACUCUGUCUCACCCAGGACUUUUCGAAGUUCUCAAUAGAUUUUGACUGAAAGGGAAGUCCAGCUAACUCUCUAGUCCAAGAAGCAUUUAAGCAAAGAGAGGCUGAGAGCAAGAGAAUGCAUGCUGGUCAGUAAUGGCUGUUGCUGAAGAGACCUAGCUUAUGGCCAGGGCCGGAUCUCCAGUUUGAGUGAUUUAUGCAAAAUAAGAAAGCAGGCCGGGUGCAGUGGCUCAUGCCUGUAAUCUCAGCACUUCGGGAGGCCAAGGCGGGUGGGUAACCUGAGGUCAGGAGUUUGAGACCAGCCUGGCCAACAUGGCGAAACCCUGUCUCUACUAAAAAUACAAAAAUUAGCCAGGUGUGAUGGUGGGUGCCUACAGUCCCAGCCACUCAAGAGGCUGAGGCAGGAGAAUCGCUUAAACCCAGUAGGCAGAGGUUGCAGUGAGUCCAGAUGGCACUACCGCACUCCAGCCUAAGCAACAGAGACAGAUUCCAUCUCAAAAUAAAUAAAUAAAUAAAAAUUAAAAAAAGAAGAAGAAAACAGACAACGCAGGUGUGGGUGUCUCUUUUCAUGAGGCUGUGGGUAGAUGGAGAGAGUUGGGGGAAAAGGGGAGAGAGUUAGAGCUGGCAGAUUUCACCUCCUGGUGGACUUAGUCCCCUGGUAGAUUUAGUCCCACAAAUGGUGUUCUUGUAAUCUGUGAAACUUGUCUUUCCCAUCUUUGUCCCUGUCCCUCUUGAGUCACUGGCCUUCCUAUGUAGGAUGUCACCCCCAUCCAAAGGCUGAGAUAGUGGGAUAGUGGCCCCUUUAAUGAGAGCCCCAUCACCUGUGUCUAAUCCACUCACAGCCCUGAACACACUGCAUUAUAACAUUGAUUCCGACUUGUCUGUCU